AUCCGGACGCCCAGAGGCAGCCAUGCAGCUUCGCUUCCUGAAGCCAUCUCGGGAUGAAUGGACGAAAAAGCAAGAAUCUGCUGCAGUGGGCUGAUCGCAGGUCUUUUUGGGUCGCAAACAAUUCUUCCGGUUCCAGACAAACGUCAUCAUUUAAGUACCACCGCACAUUUUUGCAGGAGUGAAAAAGCAUCAGUUGAACUCAUGUUCUGUCUCCGAGCUACAGUGGAAGAAAGCUACAGAAACGCCAUCAGUGGCUUCAUGCAGUCGACUCGCCCACCGCGACAGCUGAAUUUCUGCUAUUUCCCUCUCACGGGGUACUCAACGCUGCGAGUCGUACCCUUCAAAACGACAGGCAACGUGGGCCAGAUGAGGUUUACGCCCGUACGUCACAGGCCGAGGCACCCGUUUUGUGAGAGGUACUCUGCUCUGAACUUGCUACCUCCCGCGGAAGGGGACGGAAGCCUUACAAAAAUGAAGGUCACGGCCUCGACCUGAAGCAUCGCGCCUGUGGAGAGAUAGUGUCGGCAAAGUCAAUAAUGGCGCUGGCCCGAACAGGCCACAAUUUUUUAUUGCUGCCCAGUUUUAUUGUUACACUCCGUGGCCCCUGCCUGUGCGCGGUGACACACUCUUUCAUGCCCAAUGGAGACCCCCUAACACUUCGAAGCAUGCAGUCCAUCCUCAUCCUUUGGAUCGUAAUGGCUCUGCUUUUGACAGCAAGGAUAAAGCAAAGACAAGCUAAACCCUGCGGCUCAUCGUCUGCACUAGGUUCAACUUAAUGUCGGAGAGUUUGGAAAACCGGGGUUUGGAAACAAAAAGAUUAGCGAGCACCGUCAUUACGUUAUUAAAUAGCCUUGCAUCCACGUUAC
rnacentral:lncRNA from 1 species